rnacentral:rRNA from 1 species
GACGAACGCUGGCGGCGUGCUUAACACAUGCAAGUCGAACGGAAAGGCCCUGCUUUUGUGGGGUGCUCGAGUGGCGAACGGGUGAGUAACACGUGAGUAACCUGCCCUUGACUUUGGGAUAACUUCAGGAAACUGGGGCUAAUACCGGAUAGGAGCUCCUGCUGCAUGGUGGGGGUUGGAAAGUUUCGGCGGUUGGGGAUGGACUCGCGGCUUAUCAGCUUGUUGGUGGGGUAGUGGCUUACCAAGGCUUUGACGGGUAGCCGGCCUGAGAGGGUGACCGGCCACAUUGGUACUGAGAUACGGGCCAGACUCCUACGGGAGGCAGCAGUGGGGAAUAUUGCACAAUGGGCGGAAGCCAGAUGCAGCAACGCCGCGUGCGGGAUGACGGCCUUCGGGUUGUAAACCGCUUUCGCCUGUGACGAAGCGUGAGUGACGGUAAUGGGUAAAGAAGCACCGGCUAACUACGUG